UGCGCCUUGCCAGCCCGCUCAGAAACUCAAAGGAAUUGACGGGGGCCCGCACAAGCGGUGGAGCAUGUGGUUUAAUUCGAUGGUACGCGAGGAACCUUACCAGGGCUUGACAUACGUUGGAAGCGCAUCGAAAGGUGCGUGCCGCUUGCGGCCGGCGUACAGGUGCUGCAUGGCUGUCGUCAGCUCGUGCUGUGAAGUGUUGGGUUAAGUCCCGUAACGAGCGCAACCCUUGUCCUUAGUUACCAGCACGUUAUGGUGGGCACUCUAAGGAGACUGCCGGUGACAAACCGGAGGAAGGUGGGGAUGACGUCAAGUCAUCAUGGCCCUUACGGCCUGGGCUACACACGUGCUACAAUGGUCGGUACAAAGGGUUGCCAAGCCGCGAGGUGGAGCUAAUCCCAUAAAACCGAUCGUAGUCCGGAUCGCAGUCUGCAACUCGACUGCGUGAAGUCGGAAUCGCUAGUAAUCGUGAAUCAGAAUGUCACGGUGAAUACGUUCCCGGGCCUU
rnacentral:rRNA from 1 species